CACGAUGUAACGAAACCGAGGGAAAAUCUACAGCUUUCUUAAACACUUGUAGAAAGUUGACAAGGCAGUAUACUACUUCAUCAAUAUUAGAAAUUCGUCUGAGUGAGAUAAAAGCCUAUCGAGUCUGACCAGCAAAGCAACUUCCCCCAACACUGAUUGAAAGUUAGCAAGACAGUAAGUACAUCAUUUCAUCAAAAGAAUUGCCUCGUCAUUUGCCUGGUAUUCAUCACUGAUUGAGAUAGAAGCCUAUCGAGUCUGGUCAGCAAAGCAACUUAUUAAGAGACUGCUUGAACGUUAGAAAGACAUCAAUUUCAUCAAAAGAAUUUCGUCGUGGUCAUUUGUCUGAUAUUCAUCACUGAGCAAGAUGAGAGCCUACCGAGUCUGGCCAGCAAAGCAACUUUUUGAAACACUGUUUGAAAGUUAGAAAGACAGUACAUCAUUUCAUCAAAAGAAAUGCCUCGUCACUUGUCUGGUAGUCAUUACUGAUUGAGAUAGAAGCCUAACGAGUCUGGUCAGCAAAGCAACUUAUUAAGAGACUCCUUGAACGUUAGAAAGCCAGUACAUCAAUUUCAUCAAAAGAAUUUCGUCGUGGUCAUUUGUCUGAUAUUCAUCACUGAGCAAGAUGAGAGCCUACCGAGUCUGGCCAGCAGAGCAAGUUUUCUCAAUUAAAGAACUUGGGAUCUGGAAUCAUAAAAAAUGGUAAAACUUGAAUAUUCAAAUCUGAAAGAGAGUUUUAUCAAACAUGUCUGAGAACUACUUGCAAACAAAUGCAUUGAGCUGCACUUGAGACUAUUUUAGCCUAUACCCAAUGGCAUGAGACUAUCUUAAACUGUACCCAAUGACAUGAGACUAUUUCAGACUAUAUCCAAAGGCAUGAGACUAUUUU